GAUGAACGCUGGCGGCGUGCCUAAUACAUGCAAGUCGAGCGAACAGAUGAGGAGCUUGCUCCUCUGACGUUAGCGGCGGACGGGUGAGUAACACGUGGAUAACCUACCUAUAAGACUGGGAUAACUUCGGGAAACCGGAGCUAAUACCGGAUAAUAUAUUGAACCGCAUGGUUCAAUAGUGAAAGACGGUUUUGCUGUCACUUAUAGAUGGAUCCGCGCCGCAUUAGCUAGUUGGUAAGGUAACGGCUUACCAAGGCAACGAUGCGUAGACGACAUGAGAGGGUGAUCGGCAACACUGGAACUGAGAAACGGUCCAGACUCCGACGGGAGGCAGCAGUAGGGAAUCUUCCGCAAUGGGCGAAAGCCUGACGGAGCAACGCCGCGUGAGUGAUGAAGGUCUUCGGAUCGGAAAACUCUGUUAUUAGGGAAGAACAAAUGUGUAAGUAACUAUGCACGUCUUGACGGUACCUAAUCAGAAAGCCACGGCUAACUACGUG
rnacentral:rRNA from 1 species